rfam:Vibrio sp. CECT 9027 strain CECT 9027T genome assembly, contig: 0008
GCCCGGAUAGCUCAGUCGGUAGAGCAGAGGAUUGAAAAUCCUCGUGUCGGUGGUUCGAUUCCGCCUCCGGGCA